rnacentral:rRNA from 1 species
CCUACGGGUGGCAGCAGUGGGGAAUAUUUCACAAUGGGGGAAACCCUGAUGCAGCGACGGCGCGUGCAGGAAGAAGGGUUUCGGAUCGUAAACUUCUAUCAGCAGGGAAGUAGGAAGUGACAGCACCUGACUAAGAAGCCCCGGCUAACUACGUGCCAGCAGCCGCGGUAAUACGUAGGGGGCAAGCGUUAUCCGGAAUCACUGGGGGGAAAGGGUGCGUAGGCGGUAGGGCAAGUCAGAUGUGAAAGGCCGGGGCUCAACCCCGGGAAUGCAUUGGAAACUGUCUUACUAGAGUGCAGGAGAGGAAAGCGGAAGUCCUAGUGUAUCGGUGAAAUGCGUAGAUAUUAGGAAGAACACCAGUGGCGAAGGCGGCUUUCUGGACUGUAACUGACGCUGAGGCACGAAAGCGUGGGGAGCGAACAGGAUUAGAUACCCUUGUAGUC